rnacentral:lncRNA from 1 species
GCUGGUUAAUGGACCUCACUUUAUUCCAGCUUUAUUAGCUAAUGGCAGCUAAAAGUGAUUUUACACAAAAUAAUGUGUCGGAGAUCAUUGUUCCCGGGCACAGGUCCCAAAUUCCAGCCCACGACCGAAGGCCAAACGUGCCCGUUAAUGAUUAAACCUCUGGAGUCAGUGCUCAGGGACACAGGCAGGGAGCAGCCCGGAGAGCUGCCGGUCAAGGUGCCCGGCCGGGUGGGGGUGGGGCAGCAGCCAGGCCCCGCCCAACAGGAACCAGUUCCUGCCCAAAGCAGGAGGGGAAAGGCUUUUCCACCAAGGGAAAGCUAAAUAUUGUCUAAAUCCGGCACCCAGGACGACACACAGGCUUCCCAUUGUCUGCCACACAGCAGGUCUCGGCCACGGCCCAGGUUGCACCCGUGUGAGGUCAGGGAGGGUGGAGCAUCCCGGGGAGGGGGCCUGCCCCCACCGUCUUCCUCUGCACCGAGGCACAUUCUUGGGAAAGGUCUUAUGUUGCCAAAAGGGCUUAACCACAUGACACAAGUGAGCGUAGGUGGGCACCAGUGAGGAAAAGCCAUCCUUGGCAGCAGAAGCCGGUGCAGGGGCGACGCUUCAGACCACAGGAAGCGAGCUCUCCACGGUGGCCGAGGGCUUUUCCACUCGGCGAGCCUGGGCACCAGUCCCAGCUCUGCUACCUUUUCGCUGUCGUAGGUUAUCUCAGUUUCCUCCUCUGUAAAAUGGGAACGUGGUACCUGACCUCAAGGUCACCAAGAGGUCUACCGAGUGGCCCCUGUGAAACACGUAGUGCCGGAGCCCUGGUACCUGCAAGCUCUCAAUACCCGGCGAUCACGUUCAUUACGAUUAGGAUCACCAGAUUCUGUUCCUUUGCGAGAUCCUUUCCAACUGCACUUUCAUGUCAGUGUUCGUUUGCAGGUUGAUGUUGGACCGUAUUUACAUUCAGUGUUUGGGGCUGACCGGGAAGAAAUCUGAAAGUGGAAGAGAAGGGAAGGCACCGGUAACCUCGUCUUCCCAAGAGGAGGUCAGAGGGCAGUUCAGACAUUGAAGGAAGAGACAAAGAGCCUUGAAUGUCACGAAAAGGAGGUUGGACUUUAUCCUGCAGGCAAUCAGAAGCCAGAAAGGUUUCAGGAUGGAUGGGCUGAUCAGAUUUGAGUUUCAACAGGCCACUGUGCUGCUACAGACACCCAGACACCGGAGCUCCAGCCGGGGCAGGCUGCAGGAUGCCCAGCCGUGUCCCCAGGAUGCCCUGCACGCUGUCCUGAAAACUAACCUGUAACUGCAGCUCUUGGAGCCUUCCGGAACCCAGAUCCCCACCUGAGAUCAAACCAAAGACCUGGUUUAAGGUCCCUGGUUUGGC